UCCCACACAUUCACCUACAUCAUCUUCCUCUUCACCUUCCUCCUCCCCCUAGCUCUCUGGCUGAAACAAGCAUCCUGACUGAAUGUCUCACUUCUGUUCAAAUGUCUAUUUAUCCGUUUAACCCAUAUAAAAAGGAAACUUCUGAAGAAAUUAUAUUUUUUUAAAGAAUCAAAAAUGAAAUCAGGAAUAACUAUUUAAUGAAGAUAUACAGGAUAAACAAUGUUAUUUAUCAUCAUUGUUUUGAUUACAGAGAUAACGAUUGCUAGGUCUCCAUUUUCAUCAUUAGUAGUAUUAAUAUCAAGUUCAUUGUCAGGUUUUGCUUAAAGCAUCACUUGUUUAAUUUUCAUUGCAUCAAGUUGACAUCAUUCAUGUUAAUAUAAGCAUGCACACAUGUUUCUCCAUGUCCAUUCAGAACUGCACUAACACUGAGAGAGACAGAGGAGAGAGGAGUCCUACACACAGAGAGAGCGGACAAGAUGGAGGGAGGCGGAGAGAGGGGGUGAAUGGCUGUGUGGAGAGAGAGGGAAGUGGGGAAAAGGGAGUUUUCAGAAAUAGAGUGGGAGAACAAGCAAUCAAAGAGAGCAAGAGACAGGUAUAGAAAGAGAUAAAGGGAAAAGAUAAAGGUAUAUUGAGAGAGAGAGAGAGCGGCAGGCAGGCAUAGAAAGAGAUAAAGGGGCGAGAGGAAGGUAUAUUUAGAGAGAGAGAGAGAGCGAGAGAGAGCGAGGGUAAUACUGAGAGCACACUAGCAACCUCCAGUGCUGAGUGAGUGCUAACACCACAGUGUUAUGGGGCAGAGGAUCAUGUGGACUGUGAGGGAUAGAGACAGAGCCUGGAGAUAGGCCAAUGGAUCAAUACUAUAGUAUCUACUUAUACAGGCAGAUCAAUGACCUCCCAGAACAACCUGAGCAGACAUACAGUUCCAGAUGGAAAACUUCUGGCUAUGAUAUGGGAUAUACAGCUUUAAUCUGUGUACAUACCAAGCAUACCAGAAAGCAUCCCUGCACUUCCUUGGCCUGAAGUUGGAAUAGUAACUGGAUCCCCCUGAAUGCGUUUAAGGGGAAAUGGCAGCCAUAGCAUUAGUAGUGCUAACUGUUAGUUGAGGUUAUAGUAGCAGAAGUGGUGGUAGACAUGGUUCUCCCAUGGCAGUAGCCACAUGGUGCUUAAAGAGGAAGUGCAGAGCGUAAACAGGGGGUCAUUGUAUUUCACAAAGAUAAAGGACAUGGCUACCCCCUCUCUGUCUCCCCGUUUGGAGGGACUGCUAGGGGACAUAAAAGAGUCAUUACUCAGCCCAAAAUUCUACCUCAAGUAAUCAAAACGUAUCUAACAUCACGGUGCCAACUGGUUUCCCCUCAGACACACAGUACACAUUUACUAAAAGUAGUACACAACCAACACAGUUACUUAGAUCAGGCAGGGGGGGCACUUUUGAGUGACUGACAGCUGAUCUGGGAAACAACACACACAAUACACUCUAAUCUCUGUGAGAGACCGACUGUUCAUCAGGGAUCAUAAGUAUCCCACUCCCCACCAAGUGCAAUGGGUCCUACAACAAAUGGUUCCUCUAAGACACACAGGACAGAAGACACAUUUUGUUUAAAGACAGGAGUUUCAGUCUGUGGAUGCUAGGAAUGGUGUGGGGCCGCGAGGACAGGUAGAAGAUAGGGAUCUCAUGAGCACAGAAACAUGUCACACAGAAGGUCACAGUGACACACACAAACACACAGGCAUACACACACAGACGCACACAAAUACAAAACACACACACAAACACAGAAAUACACACAAAUCAAAGCAACACAAAUGUGUGUGUCCUUCUAACGUUGUCGUCCAGUCGGAGACAUGAUGGACUGCAGACAAUUUUAUCUUUUCAAAUUAAAUAAUGUCUUUCCGAAAAACAAAAUCUUGGAAUGAUAGAAAAAUUCAAUAUAAUGGUGAAAUCCUUCCCUGUAGGAUACAUUUCCAGUAAGUGCACUCCAAGCCGAGCAGGUCCGUCCUCAUCACAGUUCCCCUGUAGAGUCCUCUGGGGUAAAGUCUGCCAGUAUGUCCAAACAGGGGAACACUAUUCCUGUAACAUCCCAAGGCGCUCAAAUAGUUCAGGUCUUCAAGUACUCACAGUCACAUCCUUAGUGGAUCGUAAAAAAAUGGUAUGGAUAAAUUCCUUUCUGGAUGAUUAUAUUACACAAACCCCCAAAACCAAACAAAUGGAAAAAUAAAAGCAAAUUCACAUUAAUGAGCACCAUGAAGAAGGUGACAAAAUAAUGAGGCGAAGGGACACAUUUCAAGGUUACGUAACAUGCUUCAGCAGAUGGGUUCAUCCACAUUUCUCCCUCCCCUGACAUCAAUAAUAACGACCGGCAAAGGUUCCUUCCUCCAGCUAAAAGAAGCCAGAAAAGCCCAGAUCCAGAGGGUAGGCCCAAACCACUAGAGUCUCCACAACUGAUGUUUGUCCUGCUGGAAACACGACAUGGAUGUUUCUUAACUACACUUGUAUACGAAUGGCCUAAAGUAAAGCAUUGGCAUGGUUUGUCUUUUGAAGUCCAUACAGAGCAGAAACCUUAGGCCCAGGUUUGAUUGGAGGGAGAAAUGUGCAUCAUCACACUCCUUCUGGAUGAAUUACUGGCACUAACCUGAAGCACUGUGUGUGUGUGUGUGUGUGUGUGUGUGUGUGUGUGUGUGUGUGUGUGUGUGUGUGUGUGUGUGUGUGCGUGUGUGCGUGUGUGUGUGUGUGUGUCAGAGAUCUAAGUGUUGCUUGUAUAGAGUGUAGAUUCUGUAUUCCUGUGCUUCGUUGCGACAGGACAGGAGUUGGAAUAUUCAGCAGUAGCAGUAGAAUAGCAGUCGAUGUGUCUCCUUAUCUCUCUUUGUUUGAUGGAGAGAAUUAUUCACAGAUGAGCAGAAAGAAAGGAAAGUCUGGAACUGGAAAGAUGAU
ensembl:lncRNA